rnacentral:rRNA from 1 species
CAGCAGCCGCGGUAAUACGGAGGGGGCAAGCGUUACUCGGAAUUACUGGGCGUAAAGCGUGCGUAGGUGGUGGUUUAAGUCCGUUGUGAAAGCCCUGUGCUCAACCUGGGAAUUGCAGCGGAUACUGGAUCACUAGAGUGUGGUAGAGGAUAGUGGAAUUUCCGGUGUAGCAGUGAAAUGCGUAGAGAUCGGAAGGAACAUCUGUGGCGAAGGCGACUAUCUGGGCCAACACUGACACUGAGGCACGAAAGCGUGGGGAGCAAACAGGAUUAGAUACCCCUGUAGUCCCUGUCUCUUAUAC